AAAACACUAGUAAAACAGAAAAUUACACUGCCUUGUCAAGGCNAAAUUGUGGGUUAAAAUCCCGCGUGUNUUA
rnacentral:tRNA from 1 species